GAGUAGAGGAAGUAGAACUUGAGCACGCAUUCCACUAGCUAAGGUAAUAAUAAUUAGUGUUGCCUUUGUGAGUGACUGAGAAUGAAGGGAUGAGAGGAGGCUCUUGAACGUCUUUGUUCGCCUAUCUUCUGUAGUUGGCGAUUAA
ensembl:ncRNA C16B8.11 ncRNA